rnacentral:rRNA from 1 species
CCUACGGGAGGCUGCAGUGAGGCAUAUUGCUCAAUGGGGGAAACCCUGAAGCAGCAACGCCGCGUGGAGGAUGAAGGUUUUCGGAUUGUAAACUCCUUUUGUUAGAGAAGAUAAUGACGGUAUCUAACGAAUAAGCACCGGCUAACUCCGUGCCAGCAGCCGCGGUAAUACGGAGGGUGCAAGCGUUACUCGGAAUCACUGGGCGGAAAGAGCGCGUAGGCGGGAUAGCAAGUCAGAUGUGAAAUCCUAUGGCUUAACCAUAGAACUGCAUUUGAAACUGUUAUUCUAGAGUAUGGGAGAGGUAGGUGGAAUUCUUGGUGUAGGGGUAAAAUCCGUAGAGAUCAAGAGGAAUACUCAUUGCGAAGGCGACCUGCUAGAACAUAACUGACGCUGAUGCGCGAAAGCGUGGGGAGCAAACAGGAUUAGAUACCCGAGUAGUC